rnacentral:rRNA from 14 species
UAAGUGAAUAAGGGCGCACGGGGGAUGCCUAGGCUCUCAGAGGCGAAGAAGGACGUGAUAAGCUGCGAAAAGCUACGGGGAUUGGCCAAUGCGAAUUGAUCCGUAGAUAUCCGAAUGGGGCAACCCAGUCUUUAAGACUAUCCAGUAAUGGAAGCGAACGUGGGGAACUGAAACAUCUAAGUACCCAUAGGAGGAGAAAAUAAUAAUGAUUCCGUAAGUAGUGGCGAGCGAACGCGGAAGAGCCCAAACCGGAUAUGUUACGGCAUAUCCGGGGUUGUAGGACCUGCAUAAUUUUGAUUAAUCUGACGAGAAUUGUCUGGGAAGGCAAACGAUACAGGGUGAUAGUCCCGUAUUGGAAGGAUUGAGAAGAAGGCGGGUAUCCUGAGUAGGUCGGGACCGGAGAAAUCCCGAUUGAAACUGCCAGCACCAUCUGGUAAGGCUAAAUACUCCUGAGAGACCGAUAGUGAACAAGUACCGUGAGGGAAAGGUGA